rfam:Schistosoma rodhaini strain Burundi genome assembly, scaffold: SROB_scaffold0005408
AUUCAACUGACGAGUCCCAAGCAGGAUGAAACGCACGUCCUGGAU